UUAUCAACGGGGAUCAAGCGAACUUAAAACACCGUGCACAACCAACAUACUCGAGGCUGUAAGAAAUAUCUGUCGUAAUUCAAUCAAAAAUGAAUAUUAUCUAUGUAUUGAGUUUGAGUUAGCUUCUCGAAUCACUACGUGAAAUAAUAAAAAAUAUUAUUUUCAUAGAAUAAUGUUAUCUAAUUAAUCAUUCGCCUACUAUUCUAAUAAUUGAUUCGUUAUUAUUGCAUGCAACCCAACCCUCUGGCAACGGCAUUGAAAAAUCUAAACCAAAUCGGAAACAUAGAUCAUAUUCACUUUUAAUUUAGCUGUAAAUUAUAAUCAUAGAGAUAUAAGGAUAGAGUGCGAGGGCGAGCUGAGAAAGCGAAAGCGAAAGCGAAAGAGAACGCUGCAUAAAGGCCUCUUGUGUCCUUGUCUAAUAACGCAUGCUCCUUCGUAUAGCAAACAUAUAAGUGUAUAGCCAACACAAACAUUGUCAGUGUCAUGCCUGAUUAGACAAGGACAGAAGACACUUUUAUGCAGCGUUCUUUCUACUCCUAUAUCGCAUCCACUUACACGAUAAUUUAAGACUAUAUGACUCGCGUACUCUAACUCUUUGUAUAUCUAUGGUUAUAAUAGACAUUUAUUGCAGUCUCACAGUUGUUAGAAAUUUUGAGUUUUAGGACAUGUCUAAGAAUCAUCGAAAUGGAAAGGUUUCCUCGGUGCGUCAAUAUCUUCAAGAAUUCGUGGACAUGGCUGCAAGCGUUAGUGGAGAGGACAGAGUCGUUCCAUCAGGCGUAACGAUCAGUGGACAGUCCUGUGCGAAAUCUUCAGUUGCGAACAGUAUCUCCAAGCAUCGAUGAAGUUUUUACCGGUUGCAGUUUACCAGUUUGAAUCGGCGUCCUUGAUCGAUAGUUAUUUUCGAAGGUACGCCGAAACGAGCUAUUCGUGUAGAGAGGAGAACCGAGGCAACGGUUGUCGCUUCCAUAUCAACGAUGGGAAUGGCUUCGGGCCAACGCGAAAAA